rnacentral:rRNA from 1 species
AACGAACGCUGGCGGCAUGCCUAACACAUGCAAGUCGAACGAAGCCUUCGGGCUUAGUGGCGCACGGGUGCGUAACGCGUGGGAAUCUGCCCUUAGGUACGGAAUAACUCAGGGAAACUUGUGCUAAUACCGUAUGAUGUCGAGAGACCAAAGAUUUAUCGCCUAGGGAUGAGCCCGCGUAGGAUUAGCUAGUUGGUGGGGUAAAGGCCUACCAAGGCGACGAUCCUUAGCUGGUCUGAGAGGAUGAUCAGCCACACUGGGACUGAGACACGGCCCAGACUCCUACGGGAGGCAGCAGUGGGGAAUAUUGGACAAUGGGCGAAAGCCUGAUCCAGCAAUGCCGCGUGAGUGAAGAAGGCCUUCGGGUUGUAAAGCUCUUUUACCCGGGUAAGAUAAUGACUGUACCGGGAGAAUAAGCCCCGGCUAACUCCGUGCCAGCAGCCGCGGUAAU